GGAGGUUUCAUCGCGUGUGUGUGUGUGGAGGUUUCAUCGCGUGUGUGUGUGUGGAGGUUUCAUCGCGUGUGUGUGUGUGGAGGUUUCAUCGCGUGUGUGUGUGUGGAGGUUUCAUCGCGUGUGUGUGUGUGGAGGUUUCAUCGCGUGUGUGUGUGUGGAGGUUUCAUCGCGUGUGUGUGUGUGGAGGUUUCAUCGCGUGUGUGUGUGUGGAGGUUUCAUCGCGUGUGUGUGUGUGGAGGUUUCAUCGCGUGUGUGUGUGUGGAGGUUUCAUCGCGUGUGUGUGUGUGGAGGUUUCAUCGCGUGUG